rnacentral:rRNA from 1 species
ACGAACGCUGGCGGCGUGCUUAACACAUGCAAGUCGAGCGGGGAUGUUUGCUGGAAAGCUUCGGCUGGAAGGUAGAUGUCCUAGCGGCGGACGGGUGAGUAACGCGUGGGUAACCUGCCCUCAAGACUGGGAUACCAACUCGAAAGGGUUGUUAAUACCGGAUGUGCUGCUAAGGUCGCAUGACCAUAGCAGUAAAGGGGAAACUCGCUUGAGGAUGGACCUGCGUUCCAUUAGCUAGUUGGUAGGGUAGCGGCCUACCAAGGCGACGAUGGAUAGCCGGCCUGAGAGGGUGACCGGCCACACUGGGACUGAGAUACGGCCCAGACUCCUACGGGGGGCAGCAGUGGGGAAUCUUGCACAAUGGGCGAAAGCCUGAUGCAGCAACGCCGCGUGAGGGAAGAAGGUUUUCGGAUCGUAAACCUCUGUCCAGAGGGACGAAGCAAGUGACGGUACCUUUGGAGGAA